rnacentral:rRNA from 1 species
UACGUAGGGGGCAAGCGUUAUCCGGAUUUACUGGGUGUAAAGGGAGCGUAGACGGCAGAGCAAGUCUGAAGUGAAAGCCCGCGGCCCAACUGCGGGACUGCUUUGGAAACUGCCCGGCUAGAGUGCUGGAGAGGUAAGCGGAAUUCCUAGUGUAGCGGUGAAAUGCGUAGAUAUUAGGAGGAACACCAGUGGCGAAGGCGGCUUACUGGACAGUAACUGACGUUGAGGCACGAAAGUGUGGGGAGCAAACAGG